ACAUUUAGAAUAGGAUAGGGAUUGGGGAAUAGUGGUACCGUUCAACGGGCCAACCGGCGUCGCGGGCAAGGGCGACAAGUAGAAGUUUCCGUUUCCACUACCCCGCAGAUUGUUAUUAAUCGGUGUCGUCCAGUGUUGCUAAUCCUCUUCACCUUUUCAAUCCAGUUCCACUAUAAUAAUUGGAUAGCUCGGUUAUUUUUUCAAUAUUGAUAUUACAACUGAUGUUCUGUUACAGGAAACUACCUAUAAUAAUUAUCUAUUAUUAUGUUCCCCUUAAUCUCAACUGUUUUUUGGAAUGAUCCUGAUCGUUUAAAAGACUCAACUUUUAAUCUGGUUCGUUUAAAUUCACAAUUUUCUUCUAGAAGCAGAGGUUGGCGACGGUUGUCUAACCGCCUCUAAAAUCCCACCCACGUUCUGCAACAACUGCCCUCACUCUUCAAUCCCCUUUCAAUCUCCACACCCACAUUGAUGUCACCUCUACCCCCACAUCUCUAGCCUUCCUUCCCUAACCCUAAUCGACCCUACGAUUAGUGGUCGAUUUAAGAGAUCCUAACGAUGAACAAAAAGCUUUUGGAACGUGAUGCGGAUCAAACCGUAGAAGGAUCCAAUGCAGGUUUGAAGUCAACUUCGUCGGUUUUCUUGAAGUUUCGUAUGGGGUUCACUGCAACGAUAAAUCGGAGAAUGUGGAGCGAUUUGAGUACCAGGGAUUUUGUGUCGUUGCUUGCUGCGCCUCACAGUUAAAAUCCACAGGAACUCACCCCUUUGUCUAGGUCUAACAGUUUCUUUUCUAAUCAAGUUGUUCCCUAAAUUAUGUUAAUUCGAUUGCUUAGUUGAAUUCUUUGUUUACAAUCUUAUUCAAUUUCCAUAUCGGAUUGUAGACAUAAAGUUUGUAAUGUUGAGGGGAGUAUCAUUUAUGUUUAACAAAAAUGUUGUGGUGACAGGUGAUGUUUUGGGGGUCAGUUGUGCUGGCUUUGAAGAAACAAUUGAGUCAACUACUUGUCUUAUAUGGAUUAUCGCAUUGUUAUGCUUUUAUAAGAACGGGUCGGGUAAUGUGUCAAAAGUAAGGUAGGUUGGAUUUGGCUAGCUGACCCACAGUCAUUAUCCGUUUAUGUGGAUUUAUAAAUAUGUGAAUAUGGAUGAUUUGUGCGGGUAGAAACGGGUCAGCUUGGGUUGGGUUAGGACUUACAAGUUACUGGAUGAUGAUGACAAGAAGUGACAGACCUGGCAGCUCUGUUAAGUCUAAAAAGACCAAUAUACAAUAUACAGGUGGGAAGUUUCAGAAAAAAGAGUGAAACUCAAGAAGAUGAUGAGGGAGCUAUAAAUUUGAAAGAAGAAAGACAAGUGGAACAAAAAGUUACCCAUGAUGAAUAUGAUGGUUCUAAGAAUGAAGAAGAAUAACUGGAUGACCAAACACAAGAGGAUCACAUAGAUGCCCUCCUUGACUAGUGUUAGUUUUUUGUCUUGCGGCAUGAUACUUCAGUUCGUUUAAUACUUAUUCGGCGAGUAGAAUGCGGGGGCUCAGAACAAAAGGGUGAAUAAUGAAGAUUGGGCUAAAGACUGUCCCAGCACGAAUAAUGUUUCUAUUGCUUAUGGUGGUUAGAAUACCAGGAAGAUAUGGGAGUGCAUCUGGUCAGCAUGUUGGUGGUUGUUGACUUUUAGUCUUUUAGAGGCUAAAAUUCACACUGACACCACCUCACAUUACACACACAAACGAUGUAAAUAGUGCUUUAUUAGUGAACUUUUCUUCUUAUAAUUGUAGUUUUUUUUGUUAAAUUUAGAUGUGUAAGUUUCUUGAGAUGAAUAUUUCAUAUUCUUGUAACAAUAGAAGGCCAGAUGUCUAUGUUUUGGGUUUUACUUUCAUGUUUUGAUUGGUUUAGUGUAGAAUAAUGCAGUUGGAUCCCUAAACAUGUUUAUUCUCAA